AAAAAAAAAAAAAAAAAAAGAGGAUAUCCAAAUAUGCCCUUACUUGAUUUUAUCUAUGUAAUUUCAAUGUUUAGAUAGUCAGAUACGUCAUUUUCAUUGUAAGACAUAUAAUAGAUUCUGAGCUAGACUGCUAGACAUGAUCAAGAAUGGGACACUGUGGUGCUAAAUUUUUGGUGUUAGGACAUACCAUACGGGUCUUCAUUAUUGGCUUAGGGAGUAUUUUCUAAAUAAUAACUUGGGUGUUUGGAGACUGGAGAAUUUAUAUUGAAGCUCAUAUUUCACACCAGAGAUGAAAAGUGUGUGUAAGAACUCAUAUUGGUAGAUAAUGUUACCUUAUUUGUUGAUUUAUUACUAAUUAAAUGUGGAAUGUGGACUUUUCAUAAUGAUAAUAUGGUGAUCUUGCUUGUAUAAUUUUCAAACUUUUCUUCCACGUCUCUAGUAAAUAUUUUACUUUAUACCCAAAAAAUAAUAAAAAAAACUGCCACUGCAUCAUUUGUUUUUUUAUGCAUUGGAGUUGCAGGUCCAUUUGUGUAACAAGCUUG
rnacentral:misc_RNA from 1 species